rnacentral:rRNA from 1 species
UACGUAGGUGGCAAGCGUUGUCCGGAAUCAUUGGGCGUAAAGGGCGCGUAGGCGGCAGGCCAAGCGUGCGGUGAAAGUCCGGGGCUCAACCCCGGAUCUGCCGUGCGGACUGGUUUGCUAGAGCACUGUAGAGGCGAGUGGAAUUCCGGGUGUAGCGGUGGAAUGCGUAGAGAUCCGGAAGAACACCGGUGGCGAAGGCGGCUCGCUGGGCAGUGGCUGACGCUGAGGCGCGACAGCGUGGGGAGCAAACAGG